rnacentral:rRNA from 1 species
AAUAGCCUAACGGCUGAACCAGCAACUUGGGGGAAUGCCUUCUUAAUUUAAUAAAAUGAUAUAUUAGGUUUUUUUAAUUUGAUAUCUUUAUUUAUUAUAUUUAAGAAUUCAAGAAAUUUGAAUGUAAUUCUAGAUAAAAUAUUGAUAAUGACAAAGUUUUAUCUAUAUGUCUUGACCAAAUCUUGUGCCAGCAGUCGCGGCAACACAAGGAAGACAAGUGUUAUUCAUCUUAAAUCGGUUUAAGGGGUACCUAGACGGUAAAUUAGCCUUAAAUGUGGAACUUUUUACUAGAGUUAUAUAUGCGUGAGGAUUAUAUGUAAGUAUUACCAGAGUAGAGAUGGAAUUUUUUGAUACUGUUAAGACUGGUAUAGGCAAAAGCAAACCUUUA